rnacentral:ncRNA from 22 species
UUUCAUAUAGCAGGAUAUGGUGAUACGUUUGUAUUGAAAAGGGAACGCAGUGCAAGUCUGCGACAGCUCCCGCUGCUGUAACAGGGACGGCCCGCUUAAUACCACUGGGAAACCGGGAAGGUGAGCGAAGCCGGAUGAUCUGGAGUCAGAAGACCUGCCAUGUCUAUCGGAUUCUAU